AUUGAAAUCAAGGCUAAAACUGCCGGCUCAAAUUAUCUUUAGUCCGAUUUAGAGCCUCACAAACCGUAAUCGGUCCGUGGCCGGGACUAAAUCCACGGUACAAAGCCGCGUUCUGACGGAAGAGAAUAAUAGAGAAUUAGAGAUUACCGUGCUUUCGGCUCUGGCGUUUCUGAGUUACCCACCAAAAAAACGAAACUCAAAACUACGCAAAAGGAAGCCCCAAAAGGUUGUCCUUCUCGGAGACGCCAAAUCCAAAUCUACAACUUUCUGCUGCCUAAACGACGCCGCCGCUGCCGCCAUAUCUACUUCUCAGAUAGAAGUUGUUCGAUUGACUAUGGGAGACAGCGAGAUGGUAGUUGCUGAAACAUCUACAGUCACAGAGUAUGCGACGGCUGGAUAUAAUUCUGCUGGUUAUGGUGAUACCAACUCUAAUAUUGUUCCUGAUUCUAGUAUUUAUGCCACUGAGGGUACUGGAGUUUUUGCUGCUUCUGCAGAUGCAGCUUAUAAUGUACCAGCUGCUCCUAAUUUUGCUGAUGAGAAAAUAUAUGGCACAGAUUCUAAUUCAGUCGUACAA
rnacentral:misc_RNA from 1 species